rnacentral:tRNA from 1 species
GCCGAGGUGGGGUAGCCUGGUUACGUGUCCAGAAAGCCCUCAGGGCUGUGGACCCUGCAGCGCGAGUUCGAAUCUCGCCCUCGGCC